CGUCGGAGGCACCGUGAAGACGUUGUCGGCCACCUCUAUACGCAUCGUCCCGCGGACCGCGUAGAGGAGCUGGGCCUUCGGAUGCGCGUGCAUCCCGGUGACCAGCCCGUCCUCGAAGUCCGCGACAUAGCCCACCACGGCUCGCGGCGAGUUCUCGAACGGAGCAAGCCGAAGUUGUCGUUUUGCCGACAGGAAGUGACCGGAUGUCUUCAUAGCGACAUUCUAUGAUGCAGGACCGGAGUCGGAAAGCGGUUUCGG
rnacentral:misc_RNA from 1 species